rnacentral:rRNA from 1 species
AGUGAACGCUGGCGGUAGGCCUAACACAUGCAAGUCGAACGGCAGCACAGUAAGAGCUUGCUCUUACGAGUGGCGAGUGGCGGACGGGUGAGGAAUACAUCGGAAUCUACUUUUUCGUGGGGGAUAACGUAGGGAAACUUACGCUAAUACCGCAUACGACCUACGGGUGAAAGCAGGGGAUCUUCGGACCUUGCGCGAUUGAAUGAGCCGAUGUCGGAUUAGCUAGUUGGCGGGGUAAAGGCCCACCAAGGCGACGAUCCGUAGCUGGUCUGAGAGGAUGAUCAGCCACACUGGAACUGAGACACGGUCCAGACUCCUACGGGUGGCAGCAGUGGGGAAUAUUGGACAAUGGGCGCAAGCCUGAUCCAGCCAUACCGCGUGGGUGAAGAAGGCCUUCGGGUUGUAAAGCCCUUUUGUUGGGAAAGAAAAGCAGCAGGUUAAUACCCCGCUGUUCUGACGGUACCCAAAGAAUAAGCACCGGCUAACUUCGUG